AUGAGCGAUAGCAGUGAUGAUGAUGAUCUUGAAGCCCUACGGCAAGAAGCUCUGAAAUCCCUGAAAUCGAAAAACCAGGCCAACCCUGCUUUAUCGAGUUCCUGUGUAACCACCAAAAGAACAGAAAGAAAUCGUCCUGAUAGAAAUUCAUCGCAGAUUAGCAAGAAUGAUCAUCCAGCCGUUAAAACUUCACUUGAGCAAUCCUCUCCAUAUCGAAAUCGAUCACCAGAACAUACAGGCAGAGGUGAGAAGUCUGCGCUAGACAGAGUUCGCAGCAAGUAUGAUCCUAGAAACCAGUCCGAUCAUCGUCAGGAUCCACAUUCAAGCGAAAAAUUCACUAAUGACCCAAGGUGCUCCAGGGGCCAAAAUAGGUUUUCCAGAGAGCCUUUUUCAAAGCCUAACACAAAUUCUAAGUAUGACUCUGAUCAUAGAAAUCCCAAGAGAUUUGAUAGAAAUUACAACUACCCUAGGAGACGAACAAAUAGUAAUGAGAGGAGGAGGAGGACGCAGCUUAGACGAUCUCAUUCUCCUGAGCAUCUGCAUUCAAAUCGCAACCCAAGAUCAGUCUCACCCUCAAAUCAUAGGAAAUUCCCUCAUAGAUCGAGCCGGAGGAAUGAUAAACAAAUAUCUUAUGAAGCAUCUGAAGAUCAAGAUGGAAAGUCACCAGACCCCUUUACCUCACUACCUCUUUGUUCUCCAAAACACUACGUUGAAUUAUUCUACGGGAAAAAACUCUCGUCAAAUAAUGUAACUGAUCCAGGUGUUUCAAACUUGGAUAUAAAUGAUGAAGAUCGUGCCUUACUUUCAGAAAAGUCACAGUCAGAGAGGGACCCUGUCUUGUCUUGCCCUGAAGAAAUGACUACAGAUUCUGAGAACCCAGGAAAGUCAAAUCGGGAAGCAGAGUUCCCCCUAAAACCCCCACCCUUUAGGAACGAAAUUGUAUCUCAGCAGGUUGAAAGAAUCAAAAGAACUUUGAGAAGUGGCCCACCAUUGAGGACAGAAAAAAGAACCCGUGACGGAAGGCUCUCAUCCUCCGGAUCAAGAACACUUACAAAUGAUAGAAAGUCCAAGAGAACAAAACUUAAUCACGAGUCCCCUUUGAGUAAAGGCAGAUUGGGUGCAAAAGUUUUGGAGAAGAAUAUUGAUGAAGGAAAUUCUAGCCAACCAGAUAUGGAGACAGAGAGGCCUAUAGACCCUGUCUUGGAAGCGAGACGGAAAAAAUUUGAAUGCAAUGAUGUUGUGAAAGUUGUUCCCAAGAAAAUCAAGCUGUCCAAUAUGUCCUCAAAACCAGAUCUCAUUCCAAACGAUGAGUCUGAUCUUAGGAAUCUUUUAAUUGCAAAACAUCGAGAGAAAUCCAUAUCAACAGCUUUGUAUUUUGAAGAAAAGACCGGUGUGUUACAAAAUCCAUAUAAUUCAGGUGCUAUUAGUCCUUCCAAUAUGCAUAGAGAUCUAUCUUCCCUGGAGGAAACAAUAAUCCCAACUGAAGAACCACCGCCAGUCUCAUGCCAUAAACCAGUUGAUUUCCCCUCAUCUCAUAAGAAUGAUGAAGCUGUGGAAUCUAAAGGAAGUGAAGAAGUUCGGGUAAAAGUUGAAAUUGAAACAGAAUUUAGUGAAUCGCUCGAUUUGAACCCUACUGAUAGCUCAAACAUGAAUUUGAAUCUAGAUCAAUCCCCUGCGCUUCAUAUCUCAGAGAGCUUACCCAAUGCUUCUAAUUACCCAACGUGUGGCUUUAGCUCUGAAACAGAAAAUAUUCCUGUCUUCGAAUCAGCCGACUACGCUGCCGCUAAAGCUAUCAAAAAAGAACCAAAAUUUGCUGAAAUAGAAGAGAAUUUUAAACCUUCAGCAGAAAAACCAAUAAUUGAUGAACCAGAACUUAUUCCGCAACAACCAGAUAAACCGGAAGUAUCUGUACCUGCUGGACCAGUACUAAAGAUCAAGCCUCUGACAGAAUUAUUGGACAAGAAAGUUCUGAAGAAGGUUAAAAAGAGGAAGAAAGAAGAAAAGAGAAGUGCUAAAAAGAAAAAAAAGAGGGCAAAAUCCAAAGAAAGGGAUAGAGAGAGCUAUACUGUAAAGCUUUCAAAACGAGCAACCAAAGUUUCUAGCCAGAAAGUCACUAGAAAAGCAUCUUUUCCUACCCGAAUAGUCAGAUCUGCACUAGAAGAAGCACUAGGAAAGAAAAAGCGUAAAGUUUUCAAUGAAGGUGAAGAUGUCCCAUCAACUAAUUUAGAACUUCACUCAAGCAAAGAUCACCGGAAAGUACUGAUUCUUGAUGAGUCCCCCAUUGAUGAACUCAAUGAAGACUUCAGUCCACCCAUCCAAGCAGCCGAUGAAACAGUAAGUGGAGAAGAAAAACUUCUUGAGGAAAUUGAAGAAGAUUUGGAUAAUGAUACUCUUACUUUCCGACUAUCAUCGAAGACUCCAUUAUAUAACUCCAAAAAAGCAAAGAAAACUCCAGAUAUCUACAAGAUGAUCCAGCUGAACCAGAUGUGACUGAGAACAUUACAUAAAUGACAGAGCAAUCCAAGAAAUCUCAGAAUGUCUACCUCUUUGGAUUAAUUUUGAUCAAUUUUCAAAUAAAAGUUACUUUUUUUGUCCAGUUUCUUCAAGUUUUAUUUAUUAGCUAAAGAAACACAAUAUCUUUUAUUUUAUUGUUUGUUAAAGGUCAAUAGUCUUUUCUAGCGCAGAUAUUCGUCUGUUUAAGAAAUUAAGAGUAUGAUGUAAAAUUAAUUUCCAUGUGCUGGUCAGUACUUUAAUGGUAUCCCAAAAUUUUAUGAACCAUUUGGCCAGGAAGCUUAAAUUUUAGGCGCCAUUCUUUAUGUCUUAGAGGCCAUAAAAGCCGUAAUAAAUUUUGAUAGUAAAACCUAAAAUUUUGUACGGGGUAAGAUCGCAAAAGAAUUCAAGGCUGCAUUAACCUUUGUGAUGUAAUGAGUGGCACAGCUUUCCUUAUUUUCAGGUGUGAAAGCCUGAUUGUUACACGCAUUUGGCACAUUGGGCCGAAUAAAAUUAAAAUACUGGUCCUAGUAUUUUGUGAUAUUACUCCAUUUAAUUUAUCUUUUCUUUUUUCUUUCUUCAUUAUCUUUAUUGAAAUUCAUUGACUCAAUGGUGAGAUAUUUUCAUUUUUAUCUCAAUAAGUAUGGAUAUUUCAAAUUAAUGCAGCAUACCUUUCAGGUAUCACAAUUAUUUUGUCUUCUGUGAAGAGAAUUUGUUCUGAGUUCAUGUGUAAAUAUCAUGCUCUUUAUCUUUUGUAUUAUCUGUUUUUGUUUGUAAUACGUGUUUAUGGUACGGUUUUAAAAAAAUAACCAUAGGCUCUCUUUUCAUACUUUAUUCAUGAUUCAAAUGAAAUUUGAUUGAAGGCAAUUUAAAUGAAAUUUUGAGAAUAAUUUUUCAAUUUGUUGACCCCCGUUCUUUCCUCUCUUUCUCUCCUAUAACUCUUUGACCAUGCACAGUUGUACUUACUCUGAAAAAUAUUAUAAAAGAGAGGCCUUUUAAAUAAUGAUCUUGAUCAUUUUCUCCUCAAAAUUGCCCCUUUUUCAACUAGAAAAAUCCUCAAAAAUCGUAUCUUACUUCAUCGUUUUUCACACUUUCUGGAUUAAAAUUCAAAAUUAUCACAGUUUCGAUCAGUGCCAAAUAAUAAUGACGUAAACUAUCUUUUUUUUAUAGAUUUUAAAUUUUUUACUUACUUCAAGGUUUUCAUUCGAUGUGGAAAAUGUAAAUCUCAUACCUUCAAAAAUACACGUGGAGCAGAACUGAUAAUUAAUAUUGUGUUAAUGUUUUAAUGUGAGAAAUGAAGUGUAAUGAUCAACGCUCCCUGUUCCAAAUAAUGAUGGUAAAUGAAGGUAGAAACACAAAAAUCGAUUAUUCCAUUUCAUGAAGAAAUUAAAUACAAUUUUGUGCAUUUCAUGUCAAUUUAUUUCAGUUUGAAUUUUUACUAAAUACUAACCUUUAAUGUUACUUCAGUUACUAGAAGUUUGUAAAAGAGCAUCAAGCCAAGAAAAUCUGAGGUCUCAUUUUUUUCUUUGAUUCAUAUAAGAUCACCAUCCCAACUUGAGACUUAAGCUGACUCUAGCUGAUUAUUUUAAUCGGUAAAUGUACAAGUUUCCACCAAGUUCAGUUUAUCUGAGGCGUUCCAGUCAGCCACGAUAGUACUCCAAAAUUAUUUGCAUCAUAACGAUUUUACUCAACCGGAGUAGAGGUUUAAAUACGUAAGGACAAACUGAAUAAUUGUCAAAAAAAAACCAUCCAUAGAUUGAAUUCAAUAAUGACUUUUUCAGCACGUGGUGAUUAGCUGAUCACAUUAUUAGCAGCCAAUAGCAAUCAAUUCUAAGUAGAUCAAACUGAUUGUUCAGAAUCCUCAAAUGAAGUAUGUAUUUGGAGAAUUUUCUCGUCACUGAAAUAGGUUUAUGUCCCAAAUAAUCCUCCAAAUUUAAGGGCUGAGCAUUUUUGCCGAAAAAGAAAUCUUUCUUUUUUCUUUUUUUCAUUACAAUUGGACAGGUUUAACGCGAAUCGGCCCAACAACUUCGGAUGAUUGCCUGAUUUUCUCUGGCAUCUUAUUUUUUCAAUAGAGAACUAAGCAACACCGUACAUUAAUUUUUUUUUUUAUUCUUCAUAAUCUAGGGUAAAUUUGCAGAGUCUAAAAUUCCAAGUUCUGAGUCCAUUCAACGUUGAAAGGUGUCAAGGGAGUGUUGUUCUCUGUUAAAAAAAUAAAACAGGAGAGAAUGUUAGGCGUGAAAUGCACCAGGUUUGAUUUAGGAAUCUGUCCAAUUUAUUUAUGUCUGCAUCAAUCUUGAUUGUUAUAUGUACUAAAAGUUUGGAAUUUAAUCAAUAAAUUGUUAUUUUUUGAAGAAAAUUUUAGAAUAUUUUUUGCCUGUGACCAUCCAGGAUUUAGUGUAAUUUAAUGAGCUUAAUCUUAAAUCUGAUUUGGGUCAGAUGCACCAGUUUUGAACAGUCAUAGUUCUGUGAAAAUGCCAAGUUUCUACAUCCAAUCAUGAACAUAUUAUGUGUUAUCAUUAAUGGAGGAACACGGUCUUUCACAACAUUUGCAAUGGUAGCGCAUAGGUACCCUGAUACCCAUUACCAUGAUGGUCAUUUAUCAGUGAUAUGGACUCACUCGUUUGCAAUUUUUUCUCCAAUGACAACACAGCCAAAAUCAAUGUGGAAUAAACCUUUGCAUCUUGUGCAAUUUGUCUUAUUCGUAAUAUGACAUCAAUAACUGUGUUUUUCAAAGGAUGAUACCACUCUGAAAAUUGAGGAUAGAAAUAGUGUCAGUCAAUCUGGAAUCUCAUCAUCAAAAGACUUUUCGUUCCUAACAUCAAUCUCUGACUGGCACAUUCAAUACAUUUAGAAGUUUUUCAGAACAAUGUAAAAUAAAAACGGAUUUCUGUACCAAUAACUUGCAAGGAUCGCCACCGAAAUCCAUUAAAUACAUACUGAUACAUAGAAAAUGUCAAAUCUCGUGAAUGAUCAUCACUAAAUCACAACGAUUCUGUCAACUUGCUUCCUUGGCACCUCAAUACAAUUUCACACAUUUUUUUUUAAACUCUAUUUUCAAGUGAAAAAAAAGGAGUAUAUUUGUUUGUAUAAGUCGCUUUUACGGCGCUCUAUGACGCCUACCCGCCACAGAAAUAUCUGUCAGUAGAGAUCCGCCGGAAGCUGGCAUCUCUCCAUCUUUUGACGGAUGCUCUCUACCCACUGUUCGGCUGGACGCACUCUCAAAAAAAAGAAGAUAGGAGUAAAUCAAAGUUAGACAUUCUGCCUCAGUUACAUUCUCCGAUGAGUGAUUUACUCUGCAUUAAAUUGGCAUAUUUUGGAAGGGAUUGAAGAUGGAAAUCAAAAAGACAAUAUAAAUUAAUAAAAAUAUUUAUUUUAUUUACAAUGAUUCAUAAUUUAAUUAAAUUUCACUCAACUAGAGUAGAACAACAGCUGUAAUACUAUCUUGUACUUGUGUGUUACUUUAAAAAGAAAAGAAAAGAAAUGAAAUGUUUCUGAAACGUUUGCUUUUUCCAGUGAAUUCAUUAUGCACAAGGUAAAAAAGAGACCAUAUGAUGACUUCUCAGCUCUGUCGUUGAUCCUUGCUAAAAA
rnacentral:lncRNA from 1 species